rnacentral:rRNA from 1 species
AUGAGCUGCCCCUCCUCCUCCUCCUGCUGCGGCGUCUCUCCUCCGGUCCUCGCCAAUCCCCGGGGUGAAUUCGCUGCUAGUUGCUCCACAAGAACAACUCAGAAGGCACAUUUCUUCGGUUCAAAGCCAUCCUCCCAAAUCAUCUACAGCCCAACAUCAUCGCAUUUGUCCCGGAGAUCAGUAAUCGCCUUGGCCGGAAAGCAAUCUUGGGACAUCGGCAGGUUUGCCAAGACUCUGUUUUUCUUCAACGGGCCUCCAAACCCUCUCAAGAUUGUGGAGUCCAUAAUGAGCAGCAUCACAGCCUCUGCUCCCACCGAGGCGCCGAAGAAAGCAGAGACUUCUGAUGUGGUGCUUGUCACUGGAGCUACCGGCGGUGUCGGGCGAAGAGUUGUCGAUGUCCUACGGAAGAAGGGGGUGCCUGUCCGAGUAUUGGUUAGAAAUGCGGAGAAGGCGAGGACAAUGUUGGGGCCAGAUGUGGACUUGAUCAUAGGUGAUGUUACAAAGGGAGACACGCUCGAUCCUAAGUACUUCAAAGGCAUUAAGAAAGUCAUCAAUGCAGUUUCAGUCAUAGUAGGGCCAAAGGAAGGUGAUACACCGGACAGGCAGAAGUAUUCGCAAGGCAUCAAGUUUUUUGAACCCGAGAUCAAAGGACCUUCACCUGAAAUGGUGGAGUACCUUGGUAUGCAAAACUUGAUUAAUGCUGUAAAGGAAAGUGUUGGGCUGAGCGAAGGGAAACUGCUAUUUGGAUUCAAAGGCAAUUUAUGUGGAAAGUUUGUGUGGGGAGCACUUGACGAUGUUGUAAUGGGCGGUGUUAGUGAAAGUGCAUUCCAAAUCCAACCAACAGGAAGUGAAACUGGUGAAGCAACUGGAUUAUUCAAAGGUACCGUGUCUACUUCAAAUAACGGUGGCUUCACUAGUAUAAGGACAAAGAAUUUUACCGUCCCCGAGGACCUGUCGGCAUACGAUGGUGUUGAACUACGAGUUAAGGGCGAUGGCCGGAGGUACAAACUUAUCAUAAGAACUAGCUACGAAUGGGAUACUAUUGGCUACACUGCAAGCUUCAACACCACAAAGGGCGAAUGGCAAAGCGUUAGAAUACCUUUCUCUUCUCUGAUACCGGUAUUUCGUGCCCGUACCGCAACUGAUGCUCCACCCUUUGAUGCAAGCAAUAUCACUGCACUGCAGCUCAUGUUCAGCAAGUUUGAAUACGACGGAAAGCUCAACCCAACAUUUGCAGAAGGUCAAUUUGAGCUUCCGUUUUCAAGCAUUAGAGCAUACAUAAAUGAGCCAAUUACUCCAAGGUUUGUUCAUGUGAGCUCUGCAGGAGUUACAAGACCUGAAAGGCCAGGGCUAGAUCUAAGCAAACAACCCCCCGCCGUCCGCAUGAACAAAGAGCUUGGUUCCAUUCUAACUUACAAGUUGAAGGGAGAGGAUUUAAUUCGGGAAAGUGGUGUUCCCUACACUAUCGUGCGGCCAUGUGCUCUAACUGAGGAACCAGCUGGAGCUGACCUCAUAUUUGAACAGGGGGAUAAUAUCACUGGAAAGAUAUCACGGGAAGAAGUUGCCCGCCUUUGUGUCGCGGCUCUAGCAAGCCCGAGUGCAGUGGGGAAGACUUUUGAGGUCAAGAGCACCGUUCCAUUUAGUGAACCGUUUGUGAUCGAUCCUUCGAACCCUCCUCCUGAGAAGGACUAUGAAGUGUACUUCAAAGAGCUCAAAGACGGCAUCACGGGUAAAGAGGCUCUUGAAGGAACACCUGCUCUAGUCUGA